rnacentral:rRNA from 1 species
AUUGAACGCUGGCGGCAGGCUUAACACAUGCAAGUCGAGCGGAGAGAGGUAGCUUGCUACUGAUCUUAGCGGCGGACGGGUGAGUAAUGCUUAGGAAUCUGCCUAUUAGUGGGGGACACCAUUUCGAAAGGAAUGCUAAUACCGCAUACGUCCUACGGGAGAAAGCAGGGGAUCUUCGGACCUCACGCUAAUAGAUGAGCCUAGGUCGGAUUAGCUAGUUGGUGAGGUAACGGCUCACCAAGGCGACGAUCCGUAGCUGGUCUGAGAGGAUGAUCAGCCACACUGGAACUGAGACACGGUCCAGACUCCUACGGGAGGCAGCAGUGGGGAAUAUUGGACAAUGGGCGAAAGCCUGAUCCAGCCAUGCCGCGUGUGUGAAGAAGGUCUUCGGAUUGUAAAGCACUUUAAGUUGGGAGGAAGGUCUGUAAGCUAAUAUCUUGCAGUCUUGACGUUACCAACAGAAUAAGCACCGGCUAACUCUGUGCCAGCCGCCGCCGUAAAAC